UACGAAGGGGGCUAGCGUUGUUCGGAUUUACUGGGCGUAAAGCGCACGUAGGCGGAUCGUUAAGUCAGGGGUGAAAUCCUGGAGCUCAACUCCAGAACUGCCUUUGAUACUGGCGAUCUUGAGUCCGGAAGAGGUGAGUGGAACUCCUAGUGUAGAGGUGGAAUGCGUAGAGAUCCGGAAGAACACCGGUGGCGAAGGCGGUCUGCUGGGCCAAGACUGACGCUGAGGCGCGACAGCGUGGGGAGCAAACAGG
rnacentral:rRNA from 1 species